GCAGAAGGGUUAGUUAAUAAAGCAGUAACUGGGGCUGGGGAAAUAGCCUAGUGGCAAGAGUGCUUGCCUCGUAUACAUGAAGCCCUGGGUUCAAUUCCCAGCAUCACAUAUACAGAAAAUGGCCAGAAGUGGUGCUGUGGCUCA